GAUGAAGAACGUAGCGAAAUGCGAUACUUGGUGUGAAUUGCAGAAUCCCGUGAACCACCGAGUCUUUGAACGCAAGUUGCGCCUCAAGCCAUUAGGUUGAGGGCACGUCUGCCUGGGCGUCACAUAUCGUUGCCUGAUGCCAGUUUCCUCGUGAUGGGUGACUGUGCAGGGCGAAUGAUGGCUUCCCGUGAGCAUUGUUGCCUCAUGGUUGGUUGAAAAUUGAGUCCUUGGUAGGGAGCGCCGUGAUAGAUGGUGGUUGAGUGACGAACGAGACCCAAUCAUGUGAGACCCCUACCGAAUUUGGCCUUCAUGACCCACAUGCGUCUUUGGAACGCUCAUGACGAGACCUCAGGUCAGGCGGGGCUACCCGCUGAGUUUAAGCAUAUCAAUAAGCGGAGGA
rnacentral:misc_RNA from 1 species